GACGAACGCUGGCGGCGUGCUUAACACAUGCAAGUCGAACGGAAAGGCCCUGCUUUUGUGGGGUGCUCGAGUGGCGAACGGGUGAGUAACACGUGAGUAACCUGCCCUUGACUUUGGGAUAACUUCAGGAAACUGGGGCUAAUACCGGAUAGGAGCUCCUGCUGCACGGUGGGGGUUGGAAAGUUUCGGCGGUUGGGGAUGGACUCGCGGCUUAUCCGCUUGUUGGUGGGGUAGUGGCUUACCAAGGGUUCGACGGGUAGCCGGCCUGAGAGGGUGGCCGGCGACAUUGGGACUGAGAUAGGGCCCAGACUCCAACGGGAGGCAGCAGGGGGGAAUAUUGCACAGUGGGCGGAAGCCUGAUGCAGCAACGCCGCGUGCGGGAUGACGGCCUACGGGUGGUAAACCGCUUUCGCCUGUGACGAAGCGUGAGUGACGGUAAUGGGUAAAGAAGCACCGGCUAACUACGUG
rnacentral:rRNA from 1 species